rnacentral:rRNA from 1 species
UACGUAGGGUCCAAGCGUUAUCCGGAAUCACUGGGCGUAAAGCGUGCGUAGGUGGCGCGUUAAGUGAGAUGUUAAAUCGUGUGGCUCAACCAUAUCGAUGCAUCUCAUACUGGCGUGCUAGAGGACAGCAGAGGCAAGUGGAAUUGGUAGUGUAGCAGUGAAAUGCGCAGAUAUCAGGAGGAACACCGGUGGCGAAGGCGGUGGUCUGGGCCGGCACUGACGCUGAGGAGCGAAAGCGUGGGGAGCAAACAGG